GAUGGAUUAAGAGCUUGCUCUUAUGAAGUUAGCGGCCGACGGGGGAGUAACACGUGGGUAACCUGCCCAUAAGACUGGGAUAACUCCGGGAAACCGGGGCUAAUACCGGAUAACAUUUUGAACCGCAUGGUUCGAAAUUGAAAGGCGGCUUCGGCUGUCACUUAUGGAUGGACCCGCGUCGCAUUAGCUAGUUGGUGAGGUAACGGCUCACCAAGGCAACGAUGCGUAGCCGACCUGAGAGGGUGAUCGGCCACACUGGGACUGAGACACGGCCCAGACUCCUACGGGAGGCAGCAGUAGGGAAUCUUCCGCAAUGGACGAAAGUCUGACGGAGCAACGCCGCGUGAGUGAUGAAGGCUUUCGGGUCGUAAAACUCUGGUGGUAGGGAAGAACAAGUGCUAGUUGAAUAAGCUGGCACCUUGACGGUACCUAACCAGAAAGCCCCGGCUAAAUACGUGGCAGCAGCCGCGGUAAUACGUAGGUGGGAGCGUUAUCCGGAAUUAUUGGGCCUAAAGCGCCCGCAGGUGGUUUCUUAAGCUGAUGUGAGAGCCCCCGGCUCAAUCCCCGAGGGGCUUGGAAAAGGGAGACU
rnacentral:rRNA from 1 species